GAAAAUUUGACUCCAACAAGUAGAAAUUGAAUUAAACUCAAUUUAGAUAAUAUUUAAAAGUAUGUAAAAAUUAGUUUUAAACUAGUAUGGCAAGUUUUAUCCUGUGACAAUUACAAGCAGAAGAGAUUAUGGGACUAAACCAAAUAUUAAUCAAACUAAACCAUGACUAAAAAAGACUUCUAAUCUUUUUAAAAAUAAAGUCUCAUGUUAGUGCCUAAAUCUUGAAUGCUAAAGUCUGUGUUGAUCAGUAAGUUUAAGAAAAAUAAAAAUGGACUGGAAUGAAUGGAGAUAGUUAUGCUAAGGAUAAAAUAAUCUAAUAAUAUAAUUUUACUCACCAUGUCCCAAAGGGUAUAUGUCCCUAAACAUAAUCUUGAGAAAAUUGACUAUCAGCAAUUUAUACUGUACAAGGAGCUGUAAUAAUGCCCUGGGCUGUGAGAUUCAAGUGGAUAUUUUUCUUUUGGUUUCCUGUCUCAAAAUACUCCAGUCGUCAUCUCUAGUACUCCUGAUAAAUUCAGUAAUGGUGGUGAUCCUUGUAGUCACAUCUAGGAGAAAAAUUUCUGAAAGUUGCAAAAAGAGCAUCUGAGAUUCCAGAAAUAUAGCAAUGAUGUCAAAAGCUGAAUAACGUGUAUGUGUAUAUGACAUUCUUCCUAAAUUGUAAGACAACUGGUAUGGUUCCAGUGUCCUAAUUGGACCCUGCUUCAUACAGCUAGGUAGGUAUCUUGUACAUGAAUGUAGAGUGUGCUAUUUGAGCUCUACUAACUACCUUUAGUGGUUGCCAAGAAGAGUGGUUCAGUGACAACGGUUGCAACAUCAGGUGAGUGAGACAUGGGUUCCAAUCCCUUUUCUUCCUGCUACAUGAUCCUGGGUAAGUUAUUUAACUUCUUGCACUUCUUGCAUCC
rnacentral:lncRNA from 10 species